GAUGAACGCUGGCGGCGUGCCUAAUACAUGCAAGUCGAGCGAACGGACGAGAAGCUUGCUUCUCUGAUGUUAGCGGCGGACGGGUGAGUAACACGUGGAUAACCUACCUAUAAGACUGGGAUAACUUCGGGAAACCGGAGCUAAUACCGGAUGAUAUUUUGAACCGCAUGGUUCAAAAGUGAAAGACGGUCUUUCUGUCACUUAUAGAUGGAUCCGCGCUGCAUUAGCUAGUUGGUAAGGUAACGGCUUACCAAGGCAACGAUGCAUAGCCGACCGGAGAGGGUGAUCGGCCACACUGGAACUGAGACACGGUCCAGACUCCUACGGGAGGCAGCAGUAGGGAAUCUUCCACAAUGGGCGAAAGCCUGACGGAGCAACGCCGCGUGAGUGAUGAAGGUCUUCGGAUCGUAAAACUCUGUUAUUAGGGAAGAACAUAUGUGUAAGUAACUGUGCACAUCUUGACGGUACCUAAUCAGAAAGCCACGGCUAACUACGUG
rnacentral:rRNA from 1 species